GCUCAGAACGAACGCUGGCGGCGUGCCUAACACAUGCAAGUCGAACGUGAUCCGCCCUUCGGGGUGGUGAAAGUGGCGCACGGGUGAGUAACGCGUGGACAAUCUGCCCGAGGAUUUGGGAUAACAUCUCGAAAGGGGUGCUAAUACCGAAUAAGCCCACGGGGUCUACGGAUCUUGCGGGAAAAGGGGGGGACCUUCGGGCCUCCUGUCCUUGGAUGAGUCUGCGUACCAUUAGCUAGUUGGUGGGGUAAUGGCCUACCAAGGCGACGAUGGUUAGCUGGUCUGAGAGGAUGAUCAGCCACACUGGAACUGAGACACGGUCCAGACUCCUACGGGAGGCAGCAGUGGGGAAUUUUGCGCAAUGGGGGAAACCCUGACGCAGCAACGCCGCGUGGGUGAUGAAGGCCUUCGGGUCGUAAAGCUCUGUCUGGAGGGAAGAAAUGAUUGGGAGCUAAUACCUCUUGAUCUUGACGGUACCUCUGAAGGAAGCACCGGCUAACUCCGUGCCAGCAGCCGCGGUAAUACGGAGGGUGCAAGCGUUGUUCGGAAUUAUUGGGCGUAAAGCGCGUGUAGGCGGUCUUUUAAGUCUGAUGUGAAAGCCCCGGGCUCAACCUGGGAAGUGCAUUGGAAACUGGGAGGCUUGAGUACGGGAGAGGAGAGUGGAAUUCCUAGUGUAGGAGUGAAAUCCGUAGAUAUUAGGAGGAACACCCGGUGGCGAAGGCGGCUCUUCUGGACCCCGAUACUA
rnacentral:rRNA from 1 species